CUCCUCCUCUUCCUCAACCACUCCUCCUUCUGAUUCCAUCUCUCCUCCUCUCUCUGUGUUGUUGUCUGCUGUUCUGACUUUCUGUGUUCUGGUUCUUCUGGUUCUUCUGGUUCUUCUGGUUCUACUGGUGAGACGAUGCCUCCAUAUAAAACCUAAAGCUGCUGAAGAAGAAGUUGGAGAUGAUGACAUCACAGAUGACAUCACGUACAGUGAUGUCAAAAUAUCACGUCACCUACAGCAGCCAAUCAGACGCAGCAAAGAGAGUGAUCCAGCUGCAGUCUACUCUGCAGUGAGAGGAACAGGAGACGUCAGUUAUGGACAAAUAGCCAUCAAAGACAUCAAAUCAAACAGGACGAGAGAGAGUGAUCCAGCUGCAGUCUACUCAGCAGUAAGAACAGGAGACGUCAAUUAUGGACAAAUAGCCAUCAGACCACAAAGGACGAGAGAGUUUCCAGCAGAGCCAGAGGUCGUCUACUCUUCACUGAGGUAGACCUUCACACCAGUCCAACCACUGAUGUCCAGUUGAGCAGAGCACUGUUACCUGUUUCAUUGUAUUUCUCAUAUAUUUAUACAGAAUCUAAUCAUAACUUCAUGUUGUUUUGUGGUUACUAAUAAUAAUAAACUUC